GUUUCAGCAUCGCGUCAACGGAAGUGUCGAUUUCUACCGGAACUUCUUUUCCUAUGAGGCCGGGUUUGGUUCACUAAGUGGGGAGUUUUGGCUUGGAUUGUCCCUGGUGCAUGAGAUGACGUCAAGAACAACCAACGAAUUACGAAUCGAUAUACAAAGAGCUAAUGGAAACCUCGGAUAUGUAGUUUAUCCUAGGUUCCGAAUAGAGGCCCCUCCAACAUACAUAUUGCGCAUUGGAAACAAAACAGACUACAGCGGAAUUUCAUCUGCAAUGGCUGAUGAUCUCACGAGCACACACGGGGCAAUUAAUAUGGCGUUCACGACCUUUGAUAGGGACAAUGACCUAUAUGGCGGUAACUGUGCUUCCGUAUAUCAUGGGGCGUGGUGGUACAAUGUUUGCUUUCGCGUAAACUUAAACGGAGAUUAUCUGACACCUGGAACGUAUUCACACUCUUCAAUGUCGUUCAUAGAUGAAUAUUUAUCUUUAAAAACCAGCCGAAUGAUGUUCAGAACCACGUGACGUUGUCUGAAAACUUAGCACAAAAAUUUAUUGAAAAUCUGCAUUCUCACAUAUUGAACGUUUUGACAACUUUUUAAUUUCUUGUCUUGGAACGAGCCAAUUUUUGCAAAAAUCCAGUUAUAUAAGACUGCUGACAAAAAAUAGAUCGAAGAUUUUUAUAUUUAAGUUCAAAAAUUGAUGUUAAAUGCAUUUCUAUUAAACCGUUAGUAACGGAUUAAGCCAUAAAAUAUUAUUUUUCGAACGGAAAUAUGAAAAUCUGAUCUUUUGUCAGCAACCUUUUAUCAUUGGUCUGCAGAUA